AGGCGACGACGGGUAGCCGGCCUGAGAGGGUGACCGGCCACACUGGGACUGAGACACGGCCCAGACUCCUACGGGAGGCAGCAGUGGGGAAUAUUGCACAAUGGGCGAAAGCCUGAUGCAGCGACGCCGCGUGAGGGAUGACGGCCUUCGGGUUGUAAACCUCUUUCAGUAGGGAAGAAGCGAAAGUGACGGUACCUGCAGAAGAAGCACCGGCUAACUACGUGCCAGCAGCCGCGGUAAUACGUAGGGUGCGAGCGUUAUCCGGAAUUAUUGGGCGUAAAGAGCUCGUAGGCGGUUUGUCGCGUCUGUCGUGAAAGUCCGGGGCUUAACCCCGGAUCUGCGGUGGGUACGGGCAGACUAGAGUGCAGUAGGGGAGACUGGAAUUCCUGGUGUAGCGGUGGAAUGCGCAGAUAUCAGGAGGAACACCGAUGGCGAAGGCAGGUCUCUGGGCUGUAACUGACGCUGAGGAGCGAAAGCAUGGGGAGCGAACAGGAUUAGAUACCCUGGUAGUCCAUGCCGUAAACGUUGGGCACUAGGUGUGGGGACCAUUCCACGGUUUCCGCGCCGCAGCUAACGCAUUAAGUGCCCCGCCUGGGGGRAGUACGG
rnacentral:rRNA from 1 species